rnacentral:tRNA from 9 species
GUCCCGUUCGUCUAGAGGCCUAGGACACCGCCCUUUCACGGCGGUAACACGGGUUCGAAUCCCGUACGGGACG